rnacentral:rRNA from 1 species
AUGGUACUUUAUGAAUAAGGGUCGGCUAACUUCGUGCCAGCAGCCGCGGUAAUACGAAGGACCCGAGCGUUAUCCGGAUUUACUGGGUUUAAAGGGUGCGUAGGUGGACUUUUAAGUCAGUGGUGAAAGCCUCCCGCUCAACGGGAGAACUGCCAUUGAUACUGAUAGUCUUGAGUAUAGUUGAGGUAGGCGGAAUAUGUCAUGUAGUGGUGAAAUACUUAGAUAUGACAUAGAACACCAAUUGCGAAGGCAGCUUGCUAAGCUAUAACUGACACUGAGGCACGAAAGCGUGGGGAGCAAACAGGAUUAGAUACCCUGGUAGUCCACGCCCUAAACGAUGAUAACUCGAUGUUGGCGAUAUACUGUCAGCGUCCAAGCGAAAGCAUUAAGUUAUCCACCUGGGGAGUACGACCGCAAGGUUGAAACUCAAAGGAAUUGACGGGGGCCCGCACAAGCGGAGGAGCAUGUGGUUUAAUUCGAUGAUACGCGAGGAACCUUACCCGGGCUUGAAAGUUAGUGAAUGAUUUAGAAAUAGGUCAGCUAGCAAUA